UACGUAGGGGGCAAGCGUUGUCCGGAAUCAUUGGGCGUAAAGCGCGUGUAGGCGGCCCGAUAAGUCCGCUGUGAAAGUCCAGGGCUCAACCCUGGAAUGCCGGUGGAUACUGUCGGGCUCGAGUCCGGAAGAGGCGAGUGGAAUUCCUGGUGUAGCGGUGAAGUGCGCAGAUAUCAGGAGGAACACCAAUGGCGAAGGCAGCUCGCUGGGACGGUACUGACGCUGAGACGCGAAAGCGUUGGUAGCAAACAGG
rnacentral:rRNA from 1 species